GACGAACGCUGGCGGCGUGCCUAACACAUGCAAGUCAACUUGACUGAAGGAGCAAUCUGACAGUAGAGUGGCGCAAGGGUGCGUAACGCGUAAGUAACUUGCCCAAGGUAAGGAAUAACGUCGAGAAAUCGGCGCUAAUACCUCAUAAUGCAGCGGAUCCGCAUGGAUAUGUUGUUAAAGGUUUACCGCCUUGGGAUAGGCUUGCGUCUGAUUAGUUAGUUGGUGUGGUAACGGCACACCAAGGCUACGAUCAGUAACUGGUCUGAGAGGAUGAUCAGUCACACUGGAACUGAGACACGGUCCAGACUCCUACGGGAGGCAGCAGUGAGGAAUAUUGGGCAAUGCUCGAAAGAGUGACCCAGCAACGCCGCGUGGAGGAUGAAGGUAUUCUAUAUCGUAAACUCCUGUGAGAGCAGACGAAAGACAGAUUAUUAAUCUGGAUGACUGUAUGCUCAGAGG
rnacentral:rRNA from 1 species